AUGGCAAAGAAAGGGAAGUGGUUUAGUGCUGUCAGGAGAGUGUUCAGCUCCUCUGAUCCGGAGGGGAAAGAAGCUAAGACUGAGAAGGCAGACAAGCCUAAAUCCCGGAGGAAAUGGCCAUUUGGCAAGUCAAAGCGCUUUGAUCCGCCCACCUCGACAGUGUCAGACAUCACUCCAGUAGCUCCAUCGCCGCUGCCGCUGCCGUUGCCGCCUACGCAGCCUCCUCAGCCACAGUCCGAGGAGAUAAAAGAUGUCAAGCCAGUCGAAACGGAGAGUGAACAAAACAAGCAUGCCUACUCUGUUGCGCUUGCCUCUGCUGUCGCUGCGGAAGCCGCUGCCGUCGCUGCCCAGGCCGCUGCUGAGGUUGUCCGCCUCACAGCAGUCCCCGCAGCCACAUCAAGGCCACCUGUUUGCUCACAGGAAGAACUCGCCGCUGUCAAGAUUCAGACCGCCUUCAGGGGUUAUCUGGCAAGGAGAGCACUGCGUGCACUGAGAGGACUUGUUAGGCUGAAGUCGCUAGUUGAUGGAAAUGCUGUUAAACGCCAAACUGCCCACACCUUGCAUUGCACACAAACAAUGGCCAGAGUUCAAACCCAAAUCUACUCUAGAAGGGUGAAGAUGGAGGAGGAAAAACAGGCUCUUCAAAGGCAGCUCCAGUUGAAGCACCAAAGGGAACUUGAGAAAAUGAAGAUUGAUGAAGACUGGGAUCAUAGCCAUCAAUCCAAAGAACAGAUCGAGGCCAGCUUAAUGAUGAAACAGGAAGCUGCACUAAGACGAGAAAGAGCACUUGCAUAUGCAUUUUCUCAUCAGUGGAAGAAUUCUGGUCGAACUGUAACACCAACAUUCACAGACCAAGGAAAUCCUAAUUGGGGCUGGAGCUGGAUGGAACGCUGGAUGUCAGCAAGGCCUUGGGAGAACCGAGUGGUGUCAAACAAGGAUAAAGACGGUGCUCUGACUAAGAAUCCCAGCACUAACGCUGCUCGAACUUUUGUGCCCCGUGCUCUCUCAAUCCAGAGGCCUGCAACACCAAGCAAGUCGAGCCGUCCACCAAGCCGGCAAUCACCAUCAACCCCCCCAUCAAAGAACCCCUCUGUUGCAGGUAAAUUCAGACCUUCAAGCCCAAGAGAUAGCUGGUUAUACAGGGAGGAUGACUUGAGGAGCAUCACAAGCAUACGCUCUGAGCGCCCAAGGAGGCUGAGCACAGGUGGAGGCUCGAUCCAGGACGAUUCGAGCCUAACAAGCACCCCAGCUCUCCCCAGCUACAUGCAGUCCACAAAGUCUGCAAGAGCGAAAUCUCGGUACCACAUGGUAUUCGCCGACAAGUUUGAGGUCCCUGAUAGAGCAUCUCUGGUCCACUCAUCGAUAAAGAAGCGCCUAUCCUUCCCAGCUGCAGAGAAACCAAAUGUCACACCCGCAGAUAAGCUGAAGGAAAGAGCGAGGCGCCAUUCGGAUCCUCCGAAGGUGGAUCCUGCCUCCCUGAAGGAUGUCAAUGUUGCCUGA
rnacentral:rRNA from 1 species